rnacentral:rRNA from 1 species
GAUGAACGCUGGCGGCGUGCCUAAUACAUGCAAGUCGAGCGAACAGACGAGUAGCUUGCUCCUCUGACGUUAGCGGCGGACGGGUGAGUAACACGUGGAUAACCUACCUAUAAGACUGGGAUAACUUCGGGAAACCGGAGCUAAUACCGGAUAAUAUAUUUAACCGCAUGGUUCAAUAGUGAAAGACGGUUUUGCUGUCACUUAUAGAUGGAUCCGCGCCGCAUUAGCUAGUUGGUAAGGUAACGGCUUACCAAGGCGACGAUGCGUAGCCGACCUGAGAGGGUGAUCGGCCACACUGGAACUGAGACACGGUCCAGACUCCUACGGGAGGCAGCAGUAGGGAAUCUUCCGCAAUGGGCGAAAGCCUGACGGAGCAACGCCGCGUGAGUGAUGAAGGUCUUCGGAUCGUAAAACUCUGUUAUUAGGGAAGAACAAAUGUGUAAGUAACGAUGCACGUCUUGACGGUACCUAAUCAGAAAGCCACGGCUAACUACGU